rnacentral:rRNA from 1 species
UACGAGGGGGGCGAGCGUUGUUCGGAAUUAUUGGGCGUAAAGGGUGCGUAGGCGGUUCCGCAAGUCCUGUGUGAAAUCUUCGGGCUCAACUCGAAGUCUGCACGGGAAACUGCGGGGCUUGAGUGUGGGAGAGGUGAGUGGAAUUCCCGGUGUAGCGGUGAAUGCGUAGAUAUCGGGAGGAACACCUGUGGCGAAAGCGGCUCACUGGACCAUAACUGACGCUGAUGCACGAAAGCUGGGGGGAGCAAACAGG